rnacentral:misc_RNA from 1 species
GAUGAAGAACGUAGCGAAAUGCGAUAAGUAAUGUGAAUUGCAGAUUUCAGUGAAUCAUCGAAUCUUUGAACGCACCUUGCGCCUUGUGGUAUUCCACAAGGCAUGCCCGUUUGAGUAUCAUUAAAUCAUCAACUCUAAAACCUUUGUGGUUUUUUUAGAGCUUGGUCUUGAGGGUUUUGCAGGCUUUUUUUUUUUCGAGUCUGCUCCCUUUAAAUGCAUUAGCGAGACUUCCCUAUGCUGAACCGUCUCUUUGACGUUAUAAUUAUCUGCGUCGAAUUUUGGUUCUCGUUGGGCUUGCUUCUAAUCGUCUGUUAAAGACAAAACGGAUUUGGGUGCAUAUAUGCGCCUUUUUCCAAAACCUUUUUUGAUCUCAAAUCGGGUAGGACUACCCGCUGAACUUAAGCAUAUCAAUAAGCGGAGGA